GCCACGGUGGUCUAGCUGUCAGAACACUAGCCUUGUAAGCCUGGGGUCCCGGGUUCAAUUCCCGGUGGUGCUC
rnacentral:tRNA from 1 species